UAUUCCCCACUGCUGCCUCCCGUAGGAGUCUGGGCCGUAUCUCAGUCCCAAUGUGGCCGUUCAACCUCUCAGUCCGGCUACUGAUCGCAGUCUUGGUAGGCCGUUACCCUGCCAACUAACUAAUCAGAUAUGAGCCCAUCUUUCAGCGGAUUGCUCCUUUGGUACAAAAGGGAUGCCCCCUUCGCACAUUAUGCGGUAUUAGCAGUCGUUUCCAACUGUUGUCCCCCUCUGAAAGGCAGGUUGCUCAUACAUUACUCACCCGUCCGCCACUAAGCUACCAAAGCAAGCUCUAGUAACUCCGUUCGACUUGCAUGUGUUAGGCACGCCGCCAGCGUUCAUCCUGAGCCAA
rnacentral:rRNA from 1 species